UACGUAGGGUGCUAGCGUUAAUCGGAAUUACUGGGCGUAAAGUGUGCGCAGGCGGCGCUGCAAGUCGGGUGUGAAAUCCCCGAGCUUAACUUGGGAAUUGCGCUCGAAACUACGGCGCUGGAGUAUGGCAGAGGAAGGUGGAAUUCCACGUGUAGCGGUGAAAUGCGUAGAGAUGUGGAGGAACACCGAUGGCGAAGGCAGCCUUCUGGGCCAAUACUGACGCUCAGGCACGAAAGCGUGGGGAGCAAACAGG
rnacentral:rRNA from 1 species